rnacentral:rRNA from 1 species
AUUGAACGCUGGCGGCAGGCCUAACACAUGCAAGUCGAACGAGUGGUGGACGGGUGAGUAAUGUCUGGGAAACUGCCUGAUGGAGGGGGAUAUCUACUGGAAACGGUAGCUAAUACCGCACACCCGCAGCUGUUCCCAGAUGGGAUUUGCUUGGUGGUGGGGUAACGGCUCACCAAGGCGACGAUCCCUAGCUGGUCUGAGAGGAUGACCAGCCACACGGGAACGGAGACACGGUCCAGACUCCUACGGGAGGCAGCAGUGGGGAAGAUUGCACAAUGGGCGCAAGCCUGAUGCAGCCAUGCCGCGUGUGUGAAGAAGGCCUUCGGGUUGUAAAGUACUUUCAGCGGGGAGGCGUUACCCGCAGAAGAAGCACCGGCUAACUCCGUGCCAGCCGCCGCGGUAAUUC